rnacentral:rRNA from 1 species
UACGGGGGGGGCAAGCGUUGUUCGGAAUUACUGGGCGUAAAGGGCGCGUAGGCGGUUCGCUAAGUUGGAUGUGAAAACUCUGGGCUCAACCCAGAGCCUGCAUCCAAAACUGGCGGGCUAGAGUUCUGGAGGGGGUAGCGGAAUUCCUGGUGUAGCGGUGAAAUGCGUAGAUAUCAGGAGGAACACCGGUGGUGUAGACGGCUCUCUGGACCGCAACUGACGCUGAAACACGAAAGCGUGGGUAGCAAACAGG